rnacentral:rRNA from 1 species
UACGUAGGGGGCAAGCGUUGUCCGGAAUCAUUGGGCGUAAAGCGCGUGUAGGCGGCUUGGUAAGUCCGCUCUGAAAGCCCGGGGCUCAACCCCGGGAGGCGGGUGGAUACUGUCAAGCUCGAGUCCGGAAGAGGCGAGUGGAAUUCCUGGUGUAGCGGUGAAAUGCGCAGAUAUCAGGAGGAACACCGAUUGCGAAGGCAGCUCGCUGGGACGUUACUGACGCUGAGACGCGAAAGCGUGGGGAGCAAACAGG